rnacentral:rRNA from 1 species
CUCACCAAGAAAAACUUCUACAUUGAGAGUUCCACAUGUGUCCUAUGUGAUGAUGAGCCUAAUGAAUACAUGAAACAUAUCUUCUUCUCAUGCGAUUUUAGCCAAAAAAAUUGGUUAUCUCUGGGCUUUGAAUGGAACACUGUUUUGAACUGCAAUGAUAUGCUUAUUGAAGCUAGAAACAGAAUUCAGAUUCAACGAUUUAAAGAAUGCCUAAUUGCUGGGUGUUGGUCCCUAUGGAAGCACAAAAACAACAUCAUCUUUGACAACAAAGAAAGGGACUUGAGCUACUGUAUCUCCUGCUUCAAGGAACAUUAUGGCACUAUUAUCAAAAGAGUCAAACCUAGUUUAAAGGAGGGUAUGCAAAGUUGGUUAGAUUACUUAUAA